AGCCUCACUCCAGACUCUGGACCUCUCCUAAGCCGAAUCGCCCUCCUCCCUCCGAGCCACGGGGCAGGGCCUCCUGUGCCGCAGUGGUGUCCUGGAGCCCCUGCACCUGUCUCCAAAUGGUAUCCGCUGUGCCGCCAGGACGCGCUUCACUGGCAGCAUGGGUGCCUUUGUGAAGAUUGUGAGGCGCUAGGAUAACUGGGUGAUGAACCUGCCAGCCACCACCGUCUACUUCACUGGCUUACGACAAACUCCAGGCCGUCCUGUGUGACA
rnacentral:lncRNA from 1 species